GUCUACGGCCAUGCCACCCUGAACAAGCCCAAUCCCGUUUGAUCUUGGAAGCUAAGCAGGGUCGGGCUUGGUUAGUACUUGGAUGGGAGACCACUAGGAAGACCAGGUGCUGUGGGCG
rnacentral:rRNA from 1 species